AGAGUUUGAUCCUGGCUCAGGACGAACGCUGGCGGCGUGCCUAAUACAUGCAAGUAGAACGCUGAAGAGAGGAGCUUGCUCUUCUUGGAUGAGUUGCGAACGGGUGAGUAACGCGUAGGUAACCUGCCUUGUAGCGGGGGAUAACUAUUGGAAACGAUAGCUAAUACCGCAUAACAAUGGAUGACACAUGUCAUUUAUUUGAAAGGGGCAAUUGCUCCACUACAAGAUGGACCUGCGUUGUAUUAGCUAGUAGGUGAGGUAAUGGCUCACCUAGGCGACGAUACAUAGCCGACCUGAGAGGGUGAUCGGCCACACUGGGACUGAGACACGGCCCAGACUCCUACGGGAGGCAGCAGUAGGGAAUCUUCGGCAAUGGGGGCAACCCUGACCGAGCAACGCCGCGUGAGUGAAGAAGGUUUUCGGAUCGUAAAGCUCUGUUGUAAGUCAAGAACGGGUGUGAGAGUGGAAAGUUCACACUGUGACGGUAGCUUACCAGAAAGGGACGGCUAACUACGUGCCAGCAGCCGCGGUAAUACGUAGGUCCCGAGCGUUGUCCGGAUUUAUUGGGCGUAAAGCGAGCGCAGGCGGUUUGAUAAGUCUGAAGUUAAAGGCUGUGGCUCAACCAUAGUUCGCUUUGGAAACUGUCAGACUUGAGUGCAGAAGGGGAGAGUGGAAUUCCAUGUGUAGCGGUGAAAUGCGUAGAUAUAUGGAGGAACACCGGUGGCGAAAGCGGCUCUCUGGUCUGUAACUGACGCUGAGGCUCGAAAGCGUGGGGAGCGAACAGGAUUAGAUACCCUGGUAGUCCACGCCGUAAACGAUGAGUGCUAGGUGUUGGAUCCUUUCCGGGAUUCAGUGCCGCAGCUAACGCAUUAAGCACUCCGCCUGGGGAGUACGACCGCAAGGUUGAAACUCAAAGGAAUUGACGGGGGCCCGCACAAGCGGUGGAGCAUGUGGUUUAAUUCGAAGCAACGCGAAGAACCUUACCAGGUCUUGACAUCCCGAUGCUAUUUCUAGAGAUAGAAAGUUACUUCGGUACAUCGGUGACAGGUGGUGCAUGGUUGUCGUCAGCUCGUGUCGUGAGAUGUUGGGUUAAGUCCCGCAACGAGCGCAACCCUUAUUGUUAGUUGCCAUCAUUCAGUUGGGCACUCUAGCGAGACUGCCGGUAAUAAACCGGAGGAAGGUGGGGAUGACGUCAAAUCAUCAUGCCCCUUAUGACCUGGGCUACAUACGUGCUACAAUGGUUGGUACAACGAGUUGCGAGUCGGUGACGGCGAGCUAAUCUCUUAAAGCCAAUCUCAGUUCGGAUUGUAGGCUGCAACUCGCCUACAUGAAGUCGGAAUCGCUAGUAAUCGCGGAUCAGCACGCCGCGGUGAAUACGUUCCCGGGCCUUGUACACACCGCCCGUCACACCACGAGAGUUUGUAACACCCGAAGUCGGUGAGGUAACCUUUUGGAGCCAGCCGCCUAAGGUGGGACAGAUGAUUGGGGUGAAGUCGUAACAAGGUA
rnacentral:rRNA from 1 species